UCAUAGCCCCGAUUGCAGCGGCAUCCUUUUUUUUCUGGCUUUGGAAAAAGCAUUGGCGGAGAAAAAAGAUACAGUGGAAAGCGGGAGAAAGC
rnacentral:sRNA from 1 species